rnacentral:rRNA from 1 species
AUUGAACGCUGGCGGCAGGCUUAACACAUGCAAGUCGAGCGGGGAAGGGUAGCUUGCUACCUAACCUAGCGGCGGACGGGUGAGUAAUGCUUAGGAAUCUGCCUAUUAGUGGGGGACAACAUUCCGAAAGGAAUGCUAAUACCGCAUACGCCCUACGGGGGAAAGCAGGGGAUCUUCGGACCUUGCGCUAAUAGAUGAGCCUAAGUCAGAUUAGCUAGUUGGUGGGGUAAAGGCCUACCAAGGCGACGAUCUGUAGCGGGUCUGAGAGGAUGAUCCGCCACACUGGGACUGAGACACGGCCCAGACUCCUACGGGAGGCAGCAGUGGGGAAUAUUGGACAAUGGGCGAAAGCCUGAUCCAGCCAUGCCGCGUGUGUGAAGAAGGCCUUUUGGUUGUAAAGCACUUUAAGCGAGGAGGAGGCUACUUGGAUUAAUACUCUAGGAUAGUGGACGUUACUCGCAGAAUAAGCACCGGCUAACUCUGUGCCAGCAGCCGCCGUAAUAC